UACGGAGGGUGCAAGCGUUGUUCGGAAUUACUGGGCUUAAAGCGCGUGUAGGCGGGACGCCAAGUGUCGUGUGAAAGCCCCGGGCUCAACUCGGGAAUUGCGCGGCGAACUGGCGUUCUUGAGGCAAGUAGAGGUGACUGGAACGACCGGUGGAGCGGUGAAAUGCGUAGACAUCGGUUGGAACGCCGGAGGCGAAAGCGGGUCACUGGGCUUGUCCUGACGCUGAGGCGCGAAAGCGUGGGGAGCAAACAGG
rnacentral:misc_RNA from 1 species